AUGCCGCAGAAGGUGCGCGUCGCCGCAUCCAGCAAUGGCGUGCUGCCUGAAGACAUGCUGCGUCACAUCCUCGUGCGCCUCCCGGCAAAGACGCUAUGCCUCUUCCGAGCAGUCAGCCGAUCCUGGAGGUCCCUCCUCUCAGAUCCGCUCUUCGUUGCAGCGCACAAGUCCCGCCACCCUGGGCCACUAGUUGUCACAUGUACCAGUGAAUUGUGUCAAAGAGGAGGCACCAUUGAGAUUAUGGACUUGUCUGGCCAUGUCGUUAAGCGGAUAGCCACCAGCAUGGAGAAUGCCCGGUUGGAAUGCACACGCCACCUGGACCUUAUUUGUGUCGCCAGAAAUGAGCAUCGUUCGACCCGCCAUGUGAUCAACCCUGCCACGGGGGAUACUUUUGCAUUGCCCAGUCGCUGUGCAAAGGAGCAUGCACAUGUGAAACAUUUCUUCCCACAAUCAUUUGACUUUGGACAGGUUGGCUCCACGGGAGAGUACAAGGCUAUACGCUGUGUCAGCAUUGAUGAUUCCGAGAGUGAGUCCAGCCCGAUGCUCUGUGAGGUCAUCACCCUUGAUGAUGGUCGCCAUGCAAGAUGGAGGGGCAAACAGGGCCCUCCGGCCCCUGUCGCAAGUAACCGUAACAAAAGUGUCGUUGUCAACGGAGUCGUCUAUUUCUUGUUGGAAUUUCGACGUCCCACAUUUUCUGGGGACCAUGUCGAACAUGGUAGCAUGGCUUUGUUCAAUCUUGAGACAGAGGAGUGGAUGGGGAUUGUUCAAGGUCCAAUGCCAGUGCGCAAUGGCGGUUACUUUAGUCUAUUCAUGGAGCUAUCGCUGGUAUGCUUGGAUGGGUUCUUAGUUAUGGCACACAAUCCUGAAUAUAGCUCUUUGGACUUGUGGUUUUUGAUGGAUGCUGAGGAAUCUCUCUGGAAUAAAAGGUACAGCAUAGAUGGCCAGCAUGAAAUUCUCUUUGCUCAACCCGUAGAAAUUCUAAGUGAUGGGCGGAUAGUCCUCUCUGCACCAGGACGGCUAAGGCUCUACAAUCCAAUUACCAAGACUUUCACUGAUUUUGAGAUGAGAAAUUCCACAUUUGUUGGUACUUACACUGGAAGUCUAUUGUCUUCAGAGAGCACUUUCACUUCUGAGGCUGAACGUUGCACUGUCUGUGGCUGCUAUGGCACCCUUGAAACCAUCGAACCUUAUGCACUCUGUGAAGACUGUAUGUUGCAUCAAGCCUUGCUUUUAUUGCAGCGUCUGGAAGGCUGCGCUCAACUGGACACACUUUCAGGAAUUACCAACUGA
rnacentral:rRNA from 1 species